rnacentral:misc_RNA from 1 species
UUAACUAUUAUAUAGUACUCAGACGACACUAAUAUUCAGGGUUUGAGGUCCUCUGGCGAGCACUCACCAGCAGAAGCCGGUGGCCGAAGCGGCUCGCCAAAGCAACAAAGGUUGUAUUAACAUAGGGUUGGAGAGUCACCCGUGAGGGCGAUGUUCUCUGUAAUGAUCCCUCCGCAGGUUCACCUACGGAGA